UCAGUAGUGGUUCAGCGGUAGAACGCUAGCCUGCCACGCAAGCGAUCAUGGUUCGAAUCCCGGCCAAUGCA
rfam:Angiostrongylus costaricensis strain Costa Rica genome assembly, scaffold: ACOC_scaffold0000053